CCGAAGCACGUGAUUAAAACACCAUAACAUAUAUAUACCAAACUCACUUCACUUAUAUGCUUCAUCUAAGCUCACCUAUGCCGAAUUAUUUACCACAUUCUUAACAAAACAUAUCAAACAUAAUUCACAUAAAUAAAUAUGCCAUAGCCGAGAUACCAAAAUCAACAUAUCUAACACUUGUUCAAAAGCAUAAAAACCAUGCUUAACAAAAUAAAUAAGCCAUUUUCGCAUGGCUCAUAUUAACAUACCCGAAAUCAAACAUAUUAACUAGACUAUACAUGCCAUAAGUUCAAUUUCAAACUUAGUAAAAUACCGAAAACAGUACUCGAUAGUGUGAUAGACUUCUCUGACGAUCGCCGAGCUCAUAACCAACUUCCAAAUCUUUAAAACAAAAAGCGAUUACACACAGUAAGCUAUCAAAGCUUAGUAAGUCAUAAGCAAAUAAACAUUUAAUCAUUUACGUAAAUUAAGCUAGCCAAUUAGUAAUACACCAUUAUAAUUUCACAUAUAAUUCAAUUUAUCAACUUAUAUAUCAAAACUUAUAUAAUUUGUAAUAACUUCCCUCUUUACCAAAUAAUCAAUUGAUAAUAUAACUAAUCAUCACUUUCCUCAAUACACAUAUACAUCAAAGGCCGAAUACAUAUAUAUUCAAAUAUGCAACCACAUAAUUCAUAUUUCACAUAACUUCAUAUCAUCAAUUCAAGUAUACAACUUACCUUAUUUUCAAAUAGAUAAUCAAUUAUCACAUACCUGGUCACUUAGCCUGAUUUAAACAUUCGUACACAACUUAUCUUUACCCGUUGAACCAUUCGGAAUUAAAAAGGAUACUAAGAUAGUCGGAAGGCUCGUACAAUGCCAACGUCCCAGACGUGGUCUUACAUGUAAUCACAUAUCGAUGCCACUAUCCUAGACAGGGUCUUACACAAAUCAAAUACGAUGCCAAUGUCCCAGACAUGGUCUUACACGUAUACACAAUUCGAUGCCAACGUCCCAGACGUGGUCUUACACGAAAAUACAUAUCGAAAUCCUAUGUCAUGACAUAUGUAUCCGAACUAUUCCUAAGGCUCAUACGGGGCUUUCAGACGUCGUAACUCAGUCGAAACGAAUUCAUAAACAUAGCUACCAAGCUUAUACACAUUUGGCUAAUACAUAUAUUUAUCCACAUAUUCAUUUCAGCACAUAUAAUUCACAUUUAAUUAAAAAUUAUAACAUCUAUUUGCUUAUAAACUUACCUCGGAUAUCGACGGACGGAAUAGACGACUAUUCGAUUAUUUUUGUUUUUCCCCGAUCCAAAUCCAUUUUCUUUGGUUCAUGAUCUAAACAUAUUCAA
rnacentral:lncRNA from 1 species